AUACGGAGGAUGCAAGCGUUAUCCGGAUUUAUUGGGUUUAAAGGGUGCGUAGGCAGUUUGCUAAGCGGGAGGUGAAAUGCCGGCGCUCAACGUCGGAAGUGCCUCCCGAACUGGUGGACUGGAAUGACUCUGCCGUGGGAGGAAUGUGUAGUGUAGCGGUGAAAUGCUUAGAGAUUACACAGAACACCGAUUGCGAAGGCAUCUCACGAAGGGUUGAUUGACGCUGAGGCACGAAAGCGUGGGGAUCAAACAGGAUUAGAUACCCUGGUAGUCCACGCAGUAAACGAUGAUGGCUAACCGCUGGUUUAUUCGGAUCAGUGGCCAAGCGAAAGCGAUAAGCCAUCCACCUGGGGAGUACGACCGCAAGGUUGAAACUCAAAUGAAUUGGCGGGG
rnacentral:rRNA from 1 species